rnacentral:lncRNA from 1 species
CUUAAACUCAGUGUUAUAAACUGCAUGGAAUUUAUGAUGUGUUAUGGAUAUUUGAAAAUAAUGUGGAAAUGCUUGAUUUAAAUCUUAAAGGCGUAAUCCAUAAUUUGAUUCAGCCCAAAUGCCAGUGAGUUUUUUUAGCCAAUCGAAGCAUUGGGGGCGGGUCUAAGACAAGCACAAACACCGUUCCCACUCACAGUGAAGGAGCAAGGAGGUGGCAUGAUGUCGUCAGACAGGGAUAAAAGGGCUGUGUUUGGUAAAGGGAUCGCGUUCGACCCCUGCCAGCUUCGAGACCCUUGGGAGAACAGACCUCAGAAGAUCAGUGAGAAGGGACGACAGGAGAAGGAGGGGCAGGAAAAUAGAGACCUGAAUCGGCUUAUUAAAGAGCGGCACAUUCGACUGAUGGCAUUGGAGAAGAAAGGAAAGGGCAGAAAGAUGGUGUAUUGUCCUCUACUGAAACGGUUUAGGCUUGAUCCUCCACUAGACGCAGCCCCGCCCCCGCCCCCACCCCCACCCACUCCCAAGAAAUCACCACGACGGGUGAAGAUAGAGAUCCCCAAGCCAGUGGAGAAGAAGCCCACCCCACCUAAACCAUCACCUCCUCCUCUGCCCAAAGUCAUUCUCUCUUACAAAGACUUACAAAGACGAUCUGAGGGAAAAUGGUGGAGGGGUAUUAGGGAUAGAGAACUACCGAAUGGUCCAAGUGAAUGGUCAAAGCCCUUUAAGUGUCGACCACUGCAGUUCAGUAGAAUCCUUUACGACCAAACAUUGUCGUGGCAGCGGGGAUGGCCAACGUUCAGCCGGGAAAAAAGCAACAAACUACUGAAAGUUAAACCUUUGGAUGACAAAGUUAACCUUAAAGAGUGGAAGGAUUCUUGGAAGAUGUCCAGGCCUUUACCCAAGCAGCACACAGAAAACAGGGGCAUUACAGAAAAAGUAAAGGCUUUCAGAGAGUGGCAGAAUCGCUUGGCAAUCAGCAGAAAUAGAACAUCUACGGCAGUGGAGAAGAAAGGAAAGAACAGCGACAUGUCUAACUUCAGGUCUAAAGUGGCACCUCCACCAAAUAUACAUAAAUCUGAGCCACCAACUCAUGAGAAGAAACAUGAACCACUCCUUCAGCUGAGGAAGGAGAGCUCUGAGGAAAAUAAGCCCACCGUACCCAAGAGCGCAAAGCCCCCAGCCCCACAACCCAAGGAGAAGAAGCUGCUUGCUAGAAAACCGUCACCUCCUCAGGAUGACACAGUAAAUCUUCCAUGGUGGAAGAAAGUUUGUAGGACGUCCAAGCCUUCACUCAAGCAGCACACAGAGAAUCAGAUGAUUGCAGAAACUGUGAAGACAGGGACGGGCGAUGACAUGUCUGACUCCAGAAAAAUCGUGAUGAGCCUUGACAAUGAUGCUGACAUUGAAGCAGCACAUUUGGAGUCCAGGUUUGGAGACCAGGUUUGGAGGCCAGGUUUGGAGGCCAGGUUUGGAGGCCAGGCCAAGGUGGUACCUCCACCCAUACCACCCACAAAGAAACGUGAACCACCCAAGAAAUCGCAGUUUGAUGCCCCCCAAAUAACUCAGGCUUCAUCGGACAUACUUGAUGUCGAUAAUUGGUCAGAAGCCUGGAAGACUCAACCACUGUUGUUGAACAUUAAAGAACAAGUAUCUCUGGAGGCUUGGGAGCAGGAAUGGCCAGAGUUCACAGAGGAACAAAAUGAUAAACGACUGAAUGCUAAGCCUUUGGAUGACAAUGUAAAUCUUACAGAAUGGGGGGAUGCUUGGAAGACGCCCAAGCCUUUAGCCAAGCAGCACAUUGAGGACUUGACGGUUACAGAGACAGUAAAGCCCAAAGCCUUGACAGGUUGGAGAGAGGCAAGGAGGCUCUCUGGUGACAAUGUUCAAAAUAAUCCUCCAAGCUUGAAGGAUUGGCGUGACUCGUGGAGUUUCUGCCAAGAGCAUCGCUGGUGGAAGGUUUCUAUGGACUCCCAGAUGUCAAAACAACUUUUUUCCCAUCUAAGGAAAAGGGGCGGAGGGCUUUUUUUGUUUUGUUUUUUGUUUUUGUUUCUUUGUUUUCUUGGACACAAUACGGACUGGGGACAAUAGGACUUAAUUACCAUGACAGCCAUGAAGCAAGCAAACAUUACAAACAAAUAAACAACACAUUUAGGUUAAGACAAAAACAAUGACAACCAUGCAUUACUAUCAUUAUAACCUAAUUAACUUAAAGUAACUUUUAAAAGACCAAACUCGAAGAAAACUGUUAACAGUAUGUGAUGGGACAUGUAAGGAAAGGAAAGGGAAGGAAAAGAAGGCUGGUAGAAAGUGAGAUGUUAUGGCAAGGAUUUUGUAAAGUGUAUGUAUGCAGAUGGGAUUAGGCUGUGGGGGAUUGUGGGCUGAGGGCCCUUGGGUAAUAUUUUUGUCAGCAGAUAAACUUUAGAAAAGAUGGUGGAUAAAUGAAGAUAUCUUACGACGUUUACCAUUGAAAAAAAUGGUCACAGUUCCGGUCUACUUAAGGAGUGGCUCUCGGGUCUGGUAUAAUUAGUUAAUUGACUGUACUGUAUAUGAACCAGAAAGAAUUAAGGAGUGAGAUGUUUCGCUUCCUCCUCCGUCUCUGACUGUAGGCAUUUCCUAAUUCCAUCAGGACCCAAACUGACAGAGCUGCACUAGUUGACUUCAAGAAACCCGAAGAAGCUUCCUUUUCAGAUAUGUAGUGUUUGAUAUUAGCGAAUGUGGGACACAUUUUAUUUUUACGUGGGCAAGGAUGUGACAGGGUGUAGCUGAUAUUGUUGAGUUAAUUAACAUAGUCAUGUUACAUGCCUCCUAUUGGUCUGUUCAAACUGAUUCUUUGUGUUUUGUCUUAAUUGAUUGCAGGUGUGACUGCGGAGCAUGCGUCUCCUCCUGUUAUCUUAAAAUGGCUGCAUUUCCUGCCAACCAGGAAGAGGAAAAAAGAGCCGCUGCUACCUCCAAGUCCUUAGACUAGCUCUAGCCUAUGGACUGAACUCCCAAUCACAGUUGAAAAUAAUUAUAUCUAGUCUCUGUGUUUAUUGUGACAUUCUGAGUACAUCUUGUCGGCUCAGUGUCUGUGGGGACUUGGAGACAGUCAGCAAAGGUAAUUCUUGUUUUUUUGUGUGUUUGUGGGCUUGGCUAUACCAUGCAUGUAGCACUUUAAAGUCUUUCAGACAUUUUUGAGAGAGAUGAAUGCAUUUUUUGUUACACUUAAUACAGUUUGCUGUGUGUGCACUAUAGAUGGGUUAGCUGAUAACGUCAUAAACGAUUCACACAUUUCAAUGGUGAGUUGUGAUUCUGGAUGGCCAGAUAGCUUCCAACAAUGACAAACUGCCUGUGGGGAAUCGUAAGUGACUAGUUUCAUGUUCUUUAUGUGUCUUGUUGAGGUGUUUUGACUGGUUUCAUGUCAAUGCUAAUAUGGCAAAUUUGCUAGCUAGCAAACCAACAGUAGCAAUGUAUUUGAGACAAGUGCUCAUUGUGUAAAUGUAUGUUUUCAAUAAACAUUUGACAAAUCAAUUAUAUUUAUUCAAUCUAAGCCAACUGUUUGUUUUGCCCCAUAGCUCUGCAUGUGCUGGUUGCUCAACAACCAACCUGUCUAUAGUUGCUGUGCUUUAAGAUACUUUUACUAGCCUUAAUUGAAUAUUGCAUUUAAACACUGAAGUCUUACAUGAAUGCCUUGUUGUAUUAGACACACAACUGUAACCUUGAAAUAUUGCUUGUAAUAACAUUAAAGAGGCGCUAACUUGCCGAUUCCGCUUGGGAUUUUUCGUUACUCAUUAAGAACAUUUAGAUUUAUGUCUUGGAGUUGUAGUUCAAUGUGGGUGUGUUUUGUUUGUCCCUCUUAAGUCACCGCCCCAAACAGGCCACCAUACCGACUGGCUUAUGAACCGUGAGAUGCAGCAUGCCAACAUGAUCGGUCAGGGAAGCCUCAAGCAUACUGCAUUUCCUGCAUUCUAGAUGUAGCUCUCUUUAAUGAAAAUUGUUUGUGAUGCUAACGUUAGCUCACGAAUGUGAGGAUGUUUGAAAGCCCAUGCCGUUUAAAACCCCCCCCCCAAAAAAACAUGAAUAUUCUUUCAAAAUAACAUUUGUGACAAUAUCUUAAACGGUAUAUAUUGUCUAAACAAGUCCAAGGUGUUGUGUGCUAAUGGUUAGUUUGGCUGCCUGUAAAUAAAUGGGUGGGUUGUAAGUUUAUUCUGGUGAGUGAUUGGAUAGCGUGAACUGGGCAGCUGUUAUCCGGAGGAUUUGAUUACUGCCAGUCGUGAUUAGACUGCCAUGCAGUGAGCCAAUGGGGGCAGGAUUUAAAUCACAACCCAACUCAUGUUAAGUUUUGACAUCCUCAGUUACACAAAUCUUACAAAACUGUUUUGGAAUAUAUUGACAUUAUGACCAAUUAUCCUACUUACAGAUUUUGGUACUGGAAUAAAUGUUUGACUGAAAUCGAUGGCACAGGUCAUUUUCAACCAGAGAAGUGGGUUCUUGUGCUCAGUUGCACUUUAAAUAUUAGUUAAUUCAAUUAAAAAUCAUUUUGUGCUACUGUGUAGUGCGCUUUCCAUGAUUUCAGUACUGUCAAGUGUUUUAUUUUUUCACUGCUCCAUUCUUACAUUUUUUUUGCUUGAGGACCUUCCCUCUAUGCUACCUUUUUAUUUAAAAAAAAAAAAUCAAGUAUUAAAUGGUGUCGUCAGCAGGAGCAGCUAUAUGUAUAAUUUAAAUCCCCCAUGUUACAUAAUCAUACAUUCUAUUUGGAAUUCUCAUUUGUUCCAUGUAAUUUGAAUAUUCUUUUGUUCAUAACUGUCACGUGUGUGUAUAGACGGACCAAGGCGCAGUGUGAGUAGCGUUCCACAUCUUUAAUAUAAAGUGAAACUAUGCAACAUAAUAAACGAAACGUGACGACAAUGAAACUACACAAACACAAUAUCCCAUAACCCACAGGUGGAAAACAUGCUACUUAAGUAUGAUCCCCAAUUAGAGACAACAAUUACCAGCUGCCUCUAAUUGGAAUCAUACAAAUCACCCAAACAGAAAAACUAAACUAGAACCCCACAUAGAAAAUAUAAACUAGAUUAACCCCCCAGUCACGCCCUGACCUACUCUACCAUAGAAAAUAAAAGCUUUCUAUGGUCAGGACGUGACAAUAACGUUUGGAAAAAAACAUAUGGAAGAGACUUUAGACAAGACAACUUAUGCAUGUAUUAAUGUAAAUUGAAAAAUGUAUGCUUUUCCUUGUUUGAAAAAUAUGGCAAAUUUGGCCUCGAAGUUCUGUCGAGGUUGUUCAUGUUCACUGGGAUAUGAAUUCCAAGAAUGUCUACUGGGCCACUUGUCCCAUGAAUGGCACACCACAUGGACUCAAAGUUGGAGUGUUUUAGGGAACCCAGGAUAAGUAGUGAGCACUUGUCAUAGUGAUGGCAUGACAAAACCAUCCAAUCCUGUAAAAAUAGAUCAGAGUCACCGUGGUUUAAAUAGAGCACAGAGCCAUCCAGACCUGACACAGAGACAUAUAAACCAUUUUUAUCCAAGUGACAAGAGACAUUGAUUUUACAAUUUAUAACAUAUAGUGGAUUACAGAAUGAAUGAGUUUACUCUACAAAUAUCAGUAUCAUAGUUAUUUAAGGCCCCUGAACUCAAUGCUUUUGCAAAUUGAAAUACAAUACCGGUUUGUAGCAUGGGAAGAGCUAAGCAUAUUAGGGAAAAUAAAAUAAUGGAGGUGAGGAAAAGUCAGAUUGAGGUUAUUUAAACAAAUACAUUCAAUUUCAAUUCUCCUGAAUUUUGAAAUAUCCUUUUUCUUCAGAAUCAUAGGUUACAUAGAACUCAUGGCAUGGCCAUAUGAUAUUUAACUUUUCUCAUAUUUCAGUGGAACUGUUUGUCUUUGUAAUGAAUCUACAGUAUAAACCACAACCUGGGAUUGGAUUCAUCCCACGAUUGAAGCUUCUUCAGUUUCUCAGCCAAUUAUAGCACAGGGGGUGAGUCAGUUUGGCAAGUCACACAGACAAGAAACAGUGCGCUGUACACACAGUAAAGGAGCAAGGGAGGAAGAUUCUAUAUAUUUAUCGUUCUUUAUCCAGACCAGUGACAUUGGGAAAGGAAUCUAUUUUUUUCACGGGAGCCCUGGCCAAGAAGAGGUGGCAUGAUGUCGUCAGACAGGGAUAAAGGGACAGUGUACGACAGCUUCCAGCUCAUGAACCAAUGGGAGAACAGAGCUAAGCAGUUCAGUCAGAAGGGACAACUGGAAAAGGAGAGACAAGGAAAGAGUGCCUUGAAUGGGCUUUACAAAAAGUGGCAGUCUUGCUUGGCGAACAAAAAUGGAACCCCUACGGCAGCGGAGAAGAAAGGAAAGGGCAGCGACAUAUCUGACUUCAGAAAGGUUGCGGUGAUCCCAGACAUUGAUGCUGACAUCAAAGGAGCCAUGUUUAAGGUGGUACCACCACCAAAGAUUCCCAAACCUGCUCCAUCCCCACCACCACCACCCAAAAAGAAACCACCCAAGAGGGCAAAGCCCCAAGUUCUCAAACCAGCCGGGGGCUGGGAUGAGUCAUGGAAAAGCCUGAAGCCCCCAGAGCAGGAAGUCCAACCUGAGGAAAAAUGGUGGAGGGAUUUUAAGCCAGAUAGAUACCUACCUCUCAGCGAAUGGGCAAGGCCCUUCAAGUGUCGACCACUGUUAUUCAGUUUCAUCCUUCACCAGCAAACAGAGUGGUGGCAGCGAGGAUGGCCAGUGUUCAGCCGGGAACAAAGCAACAAACUAUUGAAAGCUAAGACUUUGGAUGUCGAAGUAUACCUUCCAGGGUGGGAGGACGCUUGGAAGACAUCCAGAUCUUUAUCCAAGCAAUACAUUGAGAACAAGAUGAUUACAGAAACAGUACAGCCCAAAGCCUUCUUCCCAGGCUGGACAGAAUCUUGGAAGGUCGCAGGUGAAAAUGUCCAAAACAGUGGCCGAUAUCUUAGGGAUUGGCACGAGUCCUGGAGUUUGUGCCAAGAACACCACUGGUGCAAGGCCCCCAUAGACUCCCAGUUGAUGUCAAAACAUGUGUUCUCCGAUGAGUUGUUGAUCUCCCAGCUUGAUGAGGAGAUCCCAUCUUCAUCAGAUUGGAUAGAGUCCUGGAAAUCUGUGAAAUCUCAGCCCCAGUCCCAGUCCCAAGAGUCCCAGUCAGAGCCCAAAGGGACUGAAUUAGAGGUAGAAAUGUCCCAUGUGCCACUGCAUCUCCAGUUCCACAAGCUUAACACACCUUUCUCAAACUGGCACGAGUCUUGGAAAGUGUCAACUGCAAAUAACGAAGCAAUUGAAGAUGGAUGGAAAGGUUCCUGGAAAAUAUAUAGUCAGAAUCAAAAUCAAAAUAACACAAAAGCCCAAAGAGAUGUUGUGUUUUUCUCAAAUAAGUACAAGACCCAAAGGUUGCGGGGUGUCGACAGCAUGCCUCAGAGUGAAUGGUCUAAAUCCUGGAAGACCCCCAUGCCUCCCCAACAUACUUUCUUGCCAGGUUGGAAAGAAUCUUGGAAACAAAACAGCAAUCCAUAUUGGAAGGAUUGGCAUGAGUCCUGGAGUUUAUGCCAAGAACACCACUUUUGCAAGUCCUUUAUGAACUCCCAGUACUGCCAUCAUGCCAUGAUGAUGUCAAAAUGCUUGCUGACUAAUGAGCUGUUGAGCUCCCAGCUUGAUGAGGAGAUCCCAUCUUCAUAUGAGUGGAUAGAGUCCUGGAAAUCUGUGAAACCUUAUCCUCAGUCCCAAUCAGAUUCAGAAGAAACUGAAUCAGAGUUGGAUAUGUCCCAUGUGCCACUGCAUCUUCAGUUCUACAAGCUUAACACACCUUUCUCAAACUGGCAUGAGUCUUGGAAAGUGUCAACUGCGCAAGCUGUAGCAGGUAAAGACGAACAAGAACAUCCUUCAACAGAAUGGACUGAUUCCUGGAAGAUAUCUUGGAUGAAUCUAAAUAAAAAUGACUUAAAACCCCAAAAGGAUGUUGUAUUUUUCUCAAGGCAUAAGACUGAAUGUUUCUUGAGUGUUGACUGUAUGGUCCAGAAUGAAUGGUCUGAAUGCUGGAAGACCAUCAAGCCUACCCAAUACACUGAGACACAGGAGGAGGAGGAGGAAAAAGAUAGCCAUUCUGAUUCCUCAAAAAAUGUGUCACAUCUAAUAGAGAUUCCUUUGAAUGAUUGGGCAGAAUCAUGGAGGUUCAAGCCAGAGGACGAGAGCCCCACCUCACCCAAGACGGCACAGCCCCUAGCCCCAAAACCAGAGGAGGAGAUGCUGAAAGCCAGCACACCAUCACCUCCUCAGCCUUACAAAUACAAUCUUAACCAGGCAAGCUGGGGUGAUUCCUGGAAAAUCCUGAAGCCCCCACAGAAGGAAGUCCCAUCUGAGAAAAAAUGGUGGAGGGCGUUUAAGCAGGACAGAAAUCUACCUUUCAAUGAAUGGGCAAAGCCCUUCAAGUGUCGACCACUGCUAUUCAGUCGCUUACUGCACACACAAACAACAUCCUGGCAGCAGGGAUGGCCAGCGUUCAGCCGGGAACAAAGCAACAAACUACUGAAUGCUAAGCCUUUGGAUAACAAAGUAAACCUUCUGGAGUGGGAGGAUGCUUGGAAGACACUCAAGCGUUUACACAAGCAGCAUGCUGAGAACAAGAUGAUUACAGAAAGAGUACAGCCCGAUGGCUUCUUGCCAGGUUGGAUAGAAUCUUGGAAGGUCGCAGGUAACAAUGUCCAAAACAACAAUCCAUAUCUGAAGGAUUGGCGUGAGUCCUGGAGUUUUUGUCAUGAACAUCACUCAUACAGGGCCUCUAUAGACUCCCAGAAUCGGCAGUAUCUCCCAGUAUCACUAAAACACAAGCUGUCCAAUGAUCUGUUGAUCUCCCAGCUUGAUGAAAACAUUACGUCCUCACCAGAAGGGUGAGGACGUGCUGAAGACAACAUGCUGAAGACAACAUGCCUCAGAAUGAAUGGUCUGAAUGUUGGAAGACACAGCAGCAGCACCAGCAGCAGUUGGAGGACUGGGCAGAGUCUUGGAGGUUAUCUGUCGCCCCAGAAUCCAACAACUCAGUAUCACUAGACCGGUGGAAACAAUCAUGGAGACUCUCAAACCCAAAUCACCCACAUCAGCUUAACCAGGGCACAGAGCCUCUCAUACACAACGGCCCCAAACACCACAUGCAACUCCACGCGGUUGAACUGCCCCAGGCAGAAUGGAGCAACUCCUGGCAGUACCUCAAGUCAGACACUGGAUCCUAAUACGAAGAAGAAAACAGACAUACAGUAGAACAUUAUAACAUGUACGUCAAAUGAUCAGAUGUGUAUUUGAUCCUAUACUAUUUAUACUUAAUGUCAAUAUACAUACUUGUUAAAUGUCUUAUUACUGGACACAUUGGAGUGUGACGAGCAGAAUUCUCUGCUGCAGAGAGGAGGUUGGGGUGAAUGAAGUGUAUAAUGCGUGGUUUGCAUAGCUGUUGGAAACUUUAAACCUAACCUAAUCUCAACCUAAUCUAAUCUAUUCUAUUGAUUGAAAUGUUGUUGUUUUCUAUCGGCUGUUGUUGCUACUUCUAUUGUUGCUGGUUGUCUUUGUGACUAAAUUAAUGCUUGAUUGACGAACACUUUAUCCAUCUUGGAUUAAUAAAUAUAUUUAAUUAUCAUAUUAAUUGCUAAAGUAUCGUCAAUGUUGAAGGUUUCUCUCAAAUUGCCAGAGCAUUCACCAGGACUGAACUGGGAUCUUAUAACGAUGUGCGGUGAGAGUCGGGAAGCAAGUUCAGGGAGGUUCAGAGACACGUUCCCAGCAGGCAAGCAGAGAGGCCACACUGUGAGACUGAAGGAUGUAUCCAUGGCACUGAGGAUGUAUCCACGGCUCUGAGGAUGUAUCCACGGCUCUGAGGAUGUGUCCACGGCUCUGAGGAUGUGUCCACGGCUCUGAGGAUGUAUCCACGGCUCUGAGGAUGUAUCCACGGCUCUGAGGAUGUGUCCACGGCUCUGAGGAUGUGUCCACGGCUCUGAGGAUGUAUCCACGGCUCUGAGGAUGUAUCCACGGCUCUGAGGAUGUAUCCACGGGUCUGAGGAUGUAUCCACAGCACUGAGGAUGUAUCCACGGCUCUGAGGAUGUAUCCACGGCUCUGAGGAAGUAUCCACGGCUCUGAGGAUGUAUCCACGGCACUGAGGAUGUAUCCACGGCUCUGAGGAUGUAUCCACCACUCUGAGGACAUAUCCACGGCUCUGAGGACAUAUCCACCACUCCGAGGACAUAGCCGCGGCUCUAAGGAUGUAUCUCUAGCUCUGAGGACAUAUCCAUGUCUCUGAGGACGUAUCCACCACUCCGAGGACAUAUCCACGGCUCUGAGGAUGAAGCCAUGGCUCUGAGGACGUAGCCGCGGCUCUGAGGAUGUAUCUCUAGCUCUGAGGACAUAUCCAUGUCUCUGAGGACGUAUCCACCACUCCGAGGACAUAGCCACGGCUCUGAGGAUGUAUCUCUAGCUCUGAAGACAUAUCCACGGCUCUGAGGACGUAUCUCCAGCUCUGAGGCCGUAUCCACGUCUCUGAGGACGUAUCUCCAGCUCUGAGGACGUAUCCACGGCUCUGAGGACGUAUCUCCAGCUCUGAGGACGUAUCCACGGCUCUGAGGACGUAUCCACGGCUCUGAGGACGUGUCCACGGCUCUGAGGACGUAUCCACGGCUCUGAGGACGUAUCCACGGCUCCAUGCUACUUUGGUGCCACUUAUGCCUGUGUGUAUUUGCUGUUUGCUGUAGCAUGCUCUACAUUACCUUUUAAUGGUGCAGUCAUUCCACUCAUUUGUUUGUGAAUGUUAUUGUCUUUCAAUAAAUUAGUUAAGGAC